rnacentral:lncRNA from 1 species
AUAUUUACGUAAUCUAUGUGCUGAGUCACCUGAACUAACCACCAGCAUCCUUUCAAAUAAAAUAGUAUCCUGACAUAUAACUUGGGACUUCAAUGUAUAUCUGGGGCUUAAUCCCCCAACUGAUGCCUCCUAAUGUCUGAUUCUUGGCUCUCCCUCUUGACUGGUUGGUCUAACCUUGCUCCAGCUGUGCUGCACUGUUGUCUUAGGCCUUCAUUUACCGCAGAGUCUUGGUGACUUCUUGACUUUUCUCUGAAUAGCCAGCUAUGCUUUUUGUCUUAUUUUUUCUUUGCUGGCCAUCUAGUCCCUGAACUCCUCCUCAGUUCAGCCCUAAUCUCCUGACUACGCCUCUCGCUAUGUUUUUUUCCCUUACUUAGCUGUAGUUUACCGUUGCAACACUGUGUUGCAAAAUCAGGCUGCAAACCACUGUUCAUAUUCUGGUUGUGUUCUCCUUGUCACAUUUGUUAUACCUAUUAUUCAUCCUUUAGUUCAUACAGCAGUUUUGGUGAUUCUAAAAGUUCUACUCAUCCUUUUCAGAGGUGUGACUUUACCCAUUCAAUGCCACGUGAUGGAAUUUUGCCAUAUUCUUGAGAUUCAUUUUCUUUUAAAUAUUGGAAAUUUCCUAAAACCCCCAGUCAAAAAACAUUGCAUAGCCUUAGUAAUAAGGAUGCUCAGGGUUACAAAGCCAAAAAGUUAAAAUAUAGGAAAUACUAUGGUUAAUGUCAUUGGGGCACGUUAAUACGACCCCUGUAUGCGCGCACCUUCUGUUACAGGUUUUAAGGAGACUGCUGUCUGUAGGACUCCUGCUUCAUUUGUUGCAAAGGUUGGAAAGCAAGGGAAUCGUGAGAAGGCAUGAUCUGGAUCUACAUCUCUGCUUCACUGUUGCUGUAUUAUGCUGGAUGUUUGAUUUCUCAUUAUGUAACAAAAGGAAGAAAAGCACCUGCAACAACUACCCAG